CAAAGGUCUGGUCCUAGCCUUACUAUUUGUUUUAACUAAACUUACACAUGCAAGUCUCUUCUCCCCAGUGAAAAUGCCCUUUACCCUCCUAUUAGAGGGAGAGGAGUCGGUAUCAGGCUCAAUUAGCCCAAGACACCUAGCUUAGCCACACCCCCAAGGGACCCCAGCAGUGAUUAAUAUUAAACAUUGGCGCAAGCCAGAUUUAGUUAUAGUUAAGAAAGUCGGUUAAUUUCGUGCCAGCCACCGCGGUUAUACGAGAGACUUUAACUAAUAGACGUCGGCGUAAAGCGUGAUUAGGGAAUUAAUACAAUAAAGUUAAACUCUAGCCUAGCUGUUAUACGCUUACGCCCUUGAGAAACCCAUUAACGAAAGUAACUUUAAUCCCCCCCCGAACUCACGGUAGCCAAGACACAAACUAGGAUUAGAUACCCUACUAUGCUUGGCCUCAAACUUUGAUUAUUUACACCCACCAUCCGCCAGGGGACUACGAGCAAUAGCUUAAAACCCAAAGGACUUGGCGGUGCCCUACACCACCUAGAGGAGCCUGUUCUAUAAUCGAUAAUCCACGAUACACCUCACCGUUUCUUGCCAAGACCGCCUAUAUACCGCCGUCGUCAACUUACCCCUUGAGGGGUACAUAGUAAGUUUAAGGGUAUUCACCAAAACGUCAGGUCAAGGUGUAGCGAAUGAAACGGGAAGAAAUGGGCUACAUUUUCUAUAUUAGAUUAUACGGACAACCAAUAUGAAACUUGGUUGCAAAGGAGGAUUUAGCAGUAAAAAGAAAUCAUUAAAUUCUUUUUAACAAGGCCCUAGGGCGCGCACACACCGCCCGUCGCCCUCUUCGACUCUUUAAAAUUUAUUCAUGAUAAGUUAACUACGAAACUAGAAGAGGUAAGUCGUAACAUGGUAAGUAUACCGGAAGGUGUACUUGGAACAG
rnacentral:ncRNA from 1 species